rnacentral:lncRNA from 1 species
CAGAGGAAGAUCAGCGGAUUAGCUAUCCUCAGUGUUGGCCUCCAGAGGAAGAUCAGCGGAUUAGAGAUCCUCAGUGUUGGCCUCCAGAGGAAGAUCAGAGGAUUAGGGAUCCUCAGUGUUGGCCUCCAGAGGAAGAUCAGCGGAUUAGCGAUCCUCAGUGUUGGCCUCCAGAGGAAGAUCAGCGGAUUAGCGAUCCUCAGUGUUGGCCUCCAGAGGAAGAUCAGAGGAUUAGCGAUCCUCAGUGUUGGCCUCCAGAGGAAGAUCAGAGGAUUAGCGAUCCUCAGUGUUGGCCUCCAGAGGAAGAUCAGCGGAUUAGCUAUCCUCAGUGUUGGCCUCCAGAGGAAGAUCAGAGGAUUAGCGAUCCUCAGUGUUGGCCUCCAGA